UCCUACGGGAGGCAGCAGUGAGGAAUAUUGGUCAAUGGGCGGGAGCCUGAACCAGCCAAGCCGCGUGAGGGAAGAAGGUACAGCGUAUCGUAAACCUCUUUUGUCAGGGAACAAAGGCGGGGACUAGUCCCCGGAUGAGGGUACCUGAAGAAAAAGCAUCGGCUAACUCCGUGCCAGCAGCCGCGGUAAUACGGAGGAUGCGAGCGUUAUCCGGAUUUAUUGGGUUUAAAGGGUGCGCAGGCGGCACGGCAAGCCGGCGGUCAAAUCGCGGGGCUCAACCCCGCCCCGCCGUCGGAACUGCCGGG
rnacentral:rRNA from 1 species